AUUGAACGCUGGCGGCAGGCCUAACACAUGCACGUCGAACGAGUGGCGGACGGGUGAGUAAUGUCUGGGAAACUGCCUGAUGGAGGGGGAUAACUCCUGGAACCGGUAGCUAAUACUGCAUACCAUCGGAUGUGCCCAGAUGGGAUAAGCUCGUGGGUGGGGUAACGGCUCAACUAGGCGACGAUCCCUAGCUGGUCUGAGAGGAUGACUGGCCAAACUGGAACAGGGAACCGGCCCAGACUCGUACGGAGGGCAGCAGUGGGGAAUAUUGGAAACUGGGCGCAAGCCUGAGGCAUCCAUGCCGGGGGUAUGAAGAAGGCCUGCGGGUUGUAAAGUACUUUCUGCGGGGAGGCGUUUCCAGCAGGAGAAGCACCGGCGAACUCCGUGCCAACGGCCGCGGUAAUG
rnacentral:rRNA from 1 species